rnacentral:rRNA from 1 species
GACGAACGCUGGCGGCGUGCUUAACACAUGCAAGUCGAACGGAAAGGCCCUGCUUUUGUGGGGUGCUCGAGUGGCGAACGGGUGAGUAACACGUGAGUAACCUGCCCUUGACUUUGGGAUAACUUCAGGAAACUGGGGCUAAUACCGGAUAGGAGCUCCUGCUGCAUGGUGGGGGUUGGAAAGUUUCGGCGGUUGGGGAUGGACUCGCGGCUUAUCAGCUUGUUGGUGGGGUAGUGGCUUACCAAGGCUUUGACGGGUAGCCGGCCUGAGAGGGUGACCGGCCACAUUGGGACUGAGAUACGGCCCAGACUCCUACGGGAGGCAGCAGUGGGGAAUAUUGCACAAUGGGCGGAAGCCUGAUGCAGCAACGCCGCGUGCGGGAUGACGGCCUUCGGGUUGUAAACCGCUUUCGCCUGUGACGAAGCGUGAGUGACGGUAAUGGGUAAAGAAGCACCGGCUAACUACGUGCCAGCAGCCGCGGUGAUACGUAGGGUGCGAGCGUUGUCCGGAUCUAUUGGGCGUAAAGGGCUCGUAGGUGGUUGAUCGCGUCGGAAGUGUAAUCUUGGGGCUUAACCCUGAGCGUGCUUUCGAUACGGGUUGACUUGAGGAAGGUAGGGGAGAAUGGAAUUCCUGGUGGAGCGGUGGAAUGCGCAGAUAUCAGGAGGAACACCAGUGGCGAAGGCGGUUCUCUGGGCCUUUCCUGACGCUGAGGAGCGAAAGCGUGGGGAGCGAACAGGCUUAGAUACCCUGGUAGUCCACGCUGUAAACGGUGGGUACUAGGUGUGGGGUCCAUUCCACGGGUUCCGUGCCGUAGCUAACGCUUUAAGUACCCCGCCUGGGGAGUACGGCCGCAAGGCUAAAACUCAAAGGAAUUGACGGGGCCCCGCACAAGCGGCGGAGCAUGCGGAUUAAUUCGAUGCAACGCGUAGAACCUUACCUGGGUUUGACAUGGAUCGGGAGCGCUCAGAGAUGGGUGUGCCUCUUUUGGGGUCGGUUCACAGGUGGUGCAUGGCUGUCGUCAGCUCGUGUCGUGAGAUGUUGGGUUAAGUCCCGCAACGAGCGCAACCCUUGUUCACUGUUGCCAGCACGUUAUGGUGGGGACUCAGUGGAGACCGCCGGGGUCAACUCGGAGGAAGGUGGGGAUGACGUCAAGUCAUCAUGCCCCUUAUGUCCAGGGCUUCACGCAUGCUACAAUGGCUGGUACAGAGAGUGGCGAGCCUGUGAGGGUGAGCGAAUCUCGGAAAGCCGGUCUCAGUUCGGAUUGGGGUCUGCAACUCGACCUCAUGAAGUCGGAGUCGCUAGUAAUCGCAGAUCAGCAACGCUGCGGUGAAUACGUUCCCGGG